GAUGUUUGUUUGAACCGCAUGGUUCAGACAUAAAAGGUGGCUUCGGCUACCACUUACAGAUGGACCCGCGGCGCAUUAGCUAGUUGGUGAGGUAACGGCUCACCAAGGCGACGAUGCGUAGCCGACCUGAGAGGGUGAUCGGCCACACUGGGACUGAGACACGGCCCAGACUCCUACGGGAGGCAGCAGUAGGGAAUCUUCCGCAAUGGACGAAAGUCUGACGGAGCAACGCCGCGUGAGUGAUGAAGGUUUUCGGAUCGUAAAGCUCUGUUGUUAGGGAAGAACAAGUGCCGUUCAAAUAGGGCGGCACCUUGACGGUACCUAACCAGAAAGCCACGGCUAACUACGUGCCAGCAGCCGCGGUAAUACGUAGGUGGCAGCGUUGUCCGGAAUUAUUGGGCGUAAAGGGCUCGCAGGCGGUUUCUUAAGUCUGAUGUGAAAGCCCCCGGCUCAACCGGGGAGGGUCAUUGGAAACUGGGGAACUUGAGUGCAGAAGAGGAGAGUGGAAUUCCACGUGUAGCGGUGAAAUGCGUAGAGAUGUGGAGGAACACCAGUGGCGAAGGCGACUCUCUGGUCUGUAACUGACGCUGAGGAGCGAAAGCGUGGGGAGCGAACAGGAUUAGAUACCCUGGUAGUCCACGCCGUAAACGAUGAGUGCUAAGUGUUAGGGGGUUUCCGCCCCUUAGUGCUGCAGCUAACGCAUUAAGCACUCCGCCUGGGGAGUACGGUCGCAAGACUGAAACUCAAAGGAAUUGACGGGGGCCCGCACAAGCGGUGGAGCAUGUGGUUUAAUUCGAAGCAACGCGAAGAACCUUACCAGGUCUUGACAUCCUCUGACAAUCCUAGAGAUAGGACGUCCCCUUCGGGGGCAGAGUGACAGGUGGUGCAUGGUUGUCGUCAGCUCGUGUCGUGAGAUGUUGGGUUAAGUCCCGCAACGAGCGCAACCCUUGAUCUUAGUUGCCAGCAUUCAGUUGGGCACUCUAAGGUGACUGCCGGUGACAAACCGGAGGAAGGUGGGGAUGACGUCAAAUCAUCAUGCCCCUUAUGACCUGGGCUACACACGUGCUACAAUGGACAGAACAAAGGGCAGCGAAACCGCGAGGUUAAGCCAAU
rnacentral:rRNA from 1 species